rnacentral:lncRNA from 1 species
UACAGGCGCCCGCCACUACGCCCGGCUAAGUUUUUGUAUUUUUAGUAGAGACGAGGUUGUACCGUGUUAACCAGGAUGGUCUUGAUCUCCUGACCUUGUGAUCCGCCUGCCUUGGCCUCCCAAAGUGCUGGGAUUACAGGCGUGUUCAAUUUGGGCAUGUUAUGUCCAAACUACAUUAAAUACUUGAGAACUAUUUCUUUAAUAAUGGAUGAGUGAAGUCAGUUCAUUUCCAAGCUUCUUAUUUGUCUUAUCUGUGAAAGAGAAACUUUGCUCUAUUUCUCUUCCCAAUCAUUUUCUGAAAUAAAACUAUUUAAAAGUCAUUGUGGUUCAUAGUGGAGGUGGUGGAGAUGGUAGAGGUGUUAAAUGAUGGAGAGGUUGGGGAGGGUGGAGGCGGUGACGGUGGUAGAGAUGGUGGUAACGGUAGAGAAGGUGGAGAUGAUGGAAGUGGUGAAGAUGGUGAAGAAGAUGGAGAGGGUGAAGAUGGUGGAGCUAGUGUAGAUAGAAGAUAUGGUAGAGAUGGAUGGUAGAAAAGCACCAUGCUAGGUGGAUUUCCCUGAUGGAGAAUGAGACUUUUAUAGUUCACUAAUUUCCAGCUGUGAGGCCCUCUGGGUGCCAUCCAGGCCCUUCUGUGGCUCUUUGAAGUUGGACUAAGAAGCAAAUCUCUACUUGCACUUUAAGCAAAGUUGUUCUAAGGGGAUCUCAUGUCAUUUUUCGUGUCUAAUGAAAGAUGGACUGUGCUGCGUUUUCUUAUAGCAAAUUCUAUAUUAGAAGACAGGAGAUUUAAAAAUUAAUUCAAGAUUAAUUCAGGGAUGACUGCACAUGGAAUUAUUUGGCCAACUAAUGAUAGACAACGAUCACAUGAAACUUUGAGCUCCCAAAGGGAAUGACCAUAUUUUUCAAAAAUCUGGGGAAGGACCAUAUUUUUCAAAAUUGCCCAGAAAUUUUUCUCUCCACUCCUAGCAACAAUGUAGUGUUGAGAACACGUGAACUGAAGGACGUCUUCUUCUUCUUUUUCUCUCUCUAGCGGAUGUGCAAAGCCCUGCCUUUCUACAUAAGCU